rnacentral:rRNA from 1 species
UACGUAGGGUGCGAGCGUUGUCCGGAAUUAUUGGGCGUAAAGAGCUUGUAGGUGGUUUGUCGCGUCUGCUGUGAAAAUCCCGAGGCUCAACCUCGGGUCUGCAGUGGGUACGGGCAGACUAGAGUGCGGUAGGGGAGAAUGGAACUCCUGGUGUAGCGGUGGAAUGCGCAGAUAUCAGGAAGAACACCGAUGGCGAAGGCAGUUCUCUGGGCCGUAACUGACGCUGAGGAGCGAAAGCGUGGGGAGCGAACAGG